GGAUGUCGUGGAAGGUGGGACGGUGGUUGUGCUGGCCUACCUGGUGCAGGACAGCGCGAGUGCUGAGGGACCCACGGGGCACUUCGCCAUCGGCAUUCACGUCAUGCAGAUGGAGGUGAACCGGCAGUUCCGGGUGCACGUAAUCAAGCCAAAGGUGUGCAGCUCGGAGUAUGUGCGCGCACAGCGGUGUGUUCCUCGAGUGUAGCCUGCAGCGUGGCCGCUACUGUCUUCUGCCAACCACUUUCGAGCCGGGGCAAGCGCGGCGGUUCCUGCUGCGGCUGUUCUACCGCCAGCCACUUGACGCCAGGGAGCUGCAGAAGGACGUGCCAAGUGCCAAGCUUCUUCCGUGCCAAAGCAUGCCAGCCUUGGCCACCAUCAUUCGCAUUAUUGGAGCGAAACACCUCGAGCAGCAAGACCCUUUUGGAU